rnacentral:lncRNA from 1 species
AAAGGUGUGAUCUGUUGUCACCAGCAUGCCCAGGGCCAGGAAGGGAGGCCCAUGAGAGGUGUUGCCGACGCAUUCUAAGGCCAAGGGAACACCUCUGUCCCUGCCACCCCUUCUCUCCAUGGAAUAACCCUACUUCAGAAGCUUCUAGGAAGCAAGGCUUCCCUUGGGGUGGGGGUGGGGGACACGUCUUCAGGACAAAGCAAAGCAGCCACACUCUGGCAAGAGGUAGGUUGGUGAGCACAGGCUUCUACAACUCAGGACCUGAUCCUUUCUGCGAGGCUGUUUUAAUGUGCAGAAAUGAAUGGUCAUGAAACUGAAAAUCAAGCCUUAGCUAAGUGCAGGGUCUGUACAGAUCCUGCCCUUUGGGGACCUGUUGCCGUCCUUACUGUCCUCAGAAUGAUGCGAGAUGCUGCCACCUAGUGUGCAUCAGCAGAACUUAAAAUUUUUAAUUCGAAUUGCAAUUAAUUAAUGAAUUUAUUGUUUUUAGUUUCCUCUGUUGGCCUUAGGAGUUUCUUUCCAGAAUAGUCAUCUUCCUUUUUUUUUUCGAAAAUUGAAGUGUCGUCGAUUUACCAUGUUGUGUUCAUUUCUGUCACCUUCCUGUUCUUGAUCUGAGGGGAACUGAUGUGGCUUAGAUGCGUCCGUUUGAUCUGCCGGGUUCCUGCACACAGAGGAAAAGUUCCCCUUUUCUGGUCCCAGAGCUGCCUCUUACUGUGGGGGAGUCCACGAGUCCCUCAGCCUCCGGACGUGUCUUUUUCUCAUGUGUAAAAUGGGCUAAGUGGCCUUUUUAUGUCCAGAGCCAGCGUGAGGAUCAGUUUCACCUGUUCAUUCAUUCAUCUGGGGAAUCCGUGGUGAAGCCCGCUGGGAACCAGCUCUGGAUCCGCAAUAUACUGCAUUAAAGAAAUAUGCAUUUAACAACCACUGAAGUUGAGUUUUUGGCUCAUGACCUUCAACUGAGACUGCUCAUUGGACUUCUUCACGGUCGAUGUCGUGUAAGUUCUGCUUACAUUUUUUGGAUCUUAUGGUGUAUGAACAGGGGUGUGUAACCAUAUUUCCUUACAGUAAGUGAUGCCCUGUUUGAAUCUCAUAACCUUUCCUCUGUCAUGAAAUGCUGUUGAUUAACUGAUUCUCUUCAUAUAUUCAUUCAGUUCUUUAUUUAACAAAUAAUGCCUGCACUAUUCUUGACCAUUAGUCUAGAGUUAUUCAACAUAUACUUUUUAGCUCUAGGGAUAAAAUAAUUAGAAAAAUAGACAUAUCUUCAGUGCUCACAGUCUUGCAGGAAAGACAGACACUAAGCAUAUAAUGACAACUAAUACAUGUGUGAUUAUAGUGGGUGAAAUGCUGUAAAGGAGAACUGAGUGCUGUGGGAACAUUUCACAGGGAGACCUGAAGGUCCAGGAAGUCAGGGAGGGUUUUUUUGAGGAAGUUAAAGCUGAAAUUGGAGAGAAGCACUUAUAUAUCGGCGUGUAGCAUGGAUGCUGUUUUUAUUGGGUUUUAAGAUGUGCUGCAGAUCCCGGGGUCCCUGUUCCUGUGCUCUAGUGGCCACCUGAGUUGGCCAUAAAGCUGUUUUACUUGUUUCUGCAUUUCUGGGGCCAGUGAUUCCAUGGUCUGCAUAUGAAACCAUGAGGUCUGCACCCAGGACAGGGGCAAGAAGGAACCCUAAAGUUUUCCUUCAACUUUGAGUCAAGGCCAUUGGGGAUUUUUAUCUCUGAGUAUCCUGAAUUAAAGAAUAGUCAGUGAAUUAGUUAAGAGCCUUCCUUUCUAUCCUAGUAUUAAUGAUUAGGGUAAUUCAGGUUUCUACUCCCCCAUCAGUCCAAAGGGGAGAAUCACUUAAUGAGUCUUACCAGCAAUGGCUUCUAGCCAACUGCUCCCUGUGUGAGCACAUCCUGCCCAGCCCAGCCAAAGAUUCGUGGAGUCUCCUCCAUCUACUUCUGAGUGGCUCUGAGAAUCCUUUGGCUGUUCCAAAAAUAUCUCCCCAAUUUUGCUCACGGUGUAGUUUCUUAAAGAGUGCCAGGUGAAUAUUUUGACCUUAACCUGGGUCUAGGUUCCCUUAUUCUGUUGAAACAAGGUGGCCAUGUGCUUUGGGUUACUGAGAGCAUCCAUGGCUUGAGGGCUUCUUUCUUGGAGUCAAGGUUCCAGUUGACUACAAUCAACCCACCACUCCUCCAGAAGUUGUACAACGCCCCCAGGAGAAACAGAACUAAGAAGCAAAUACGUGAUCAUACCUAGUAUUGCCCACCUGUGGUCCCCUUUGCAAACCCUGCCGCCCCAAUCCACUUCUUGGGUGGCAGUUAGCUUGGAGGAAGAGGUUUUGACCCAAAUAAAAGGACAUCAUAUCUCUGAACUCA